AAAGUACUCCCUCCGUCCCAAAAUUCUUGUCUUAGAUUUGUCUAGAUAAGGAUGUAUCAAGUCACAUUUUAGUAUUAGAUACAUCCAUAUCUAGACAAAUCUAAUACAAGAAUUUUGGGACGGAGGGAGUAGUUG
rnacentral:pre_miRNA from 1 species